rnacentral:rRNA from 1 species
AUUGAACGCUGGCGGCAGGCCUAACACAUGCAAGUCGAACGAGUGGCGGACGGGAGAGGAAUGUCUGUGAAACUUCCUGUUGGAGGGGGAUAACUACUGGAAACGCUAGCUAAUACCGCAUACCUUCGUAUGUGUCCAUCUGGGAUUAGCUAGGGGGUGGGGUAACGGCUCACCAAGGCGACGAUCCCUAGCGGGUCUGAGAUGAUGACCAGCCACACUGGAACUGUGACACGGUCCAGAUUCCUACGGGAGGCAGCAGUGGGGAAUAUUGAACAAUGGGCGCAAGCCUGAUGCAGGCAUGCCGCGUGUGUGAAGAAGGCCUUCGGAUUGUAAAGUACUAUAAGCGGGGAGGCGUUACCCUCAGAAGAAGCACCGGCUAACUCCGUGCCAGCAGACGGGGUAAUUC